AGAAGGAAGGAGAAACAUAGGCACACAACCGCUACUCAGCUACAGGAACCAGGCUGGUGAACUCGGGGGCUUCCUGGGAGAAGCAAAUUGGGGAUAAUCUGGAGAUGGAGAGGGAGGUGCUUCUAAGUAGAGGGAGUGUCUGACACUGAAGGCGGGACCAGCCAAAGCACCCAGGUGGUGGGAAAAGCUGGGGCUAAAGAAAUAGUAGUUUCUCACCCCUACUGCCAAAAAUAAAGUAUGUAUAUUCAUUGUGAAAACUUUGGGAAAUAAGAAAGCAUGCAGAUAACAAAGUUGCCCAUAUAUUAUCCAAAGAUAAAAAUCUCUUGAUAUUGUGGUGGUUAUAUACUGAUGUCUUGGGGUGUUGUUUGUAUACUUAUCUGAGGCUUAAAAUUAAGAAUUAAAAAAAAAACAACAACCCUGUCAUCUUUAAUAGAACUGUUCUAACAGUUCUCAUGGCGGAAGUAUAGUCUUUAAUAGCUACAUACUCUUCCAUCAAAUGGCUGUUUGUUCUAGUGCUUACGGUUGGAUAUUUUUGUUGGGUUCAAGUUUUUUCUUUUCUUUUUAUAUAAUUCUUCAGCACAGACUCCCAGAGUGUGUUCAGUUUGGAGGCAGUUGAUAGUUGUUGCCAGAUCGUGUUCUGGAAACGCUGCACUCCGUCAGCAGUGGGAAGCCGUCUAAGGUCACACACUUUUCUCAUCUCCAGGUUCUACGUCCUGGUUUUUGUAGCUGUUUUGGAGAUUGUAGAAGGAUGCUUCUUGAGUGAGGUACCCCACAGAGGUUUAAGAGUGUAUUUGUGGUCUCAAAGAACUGAGGUAACCUCAUUCAUUGGAAGCUUGCAGAUAAUUGAAAAUGUGUAUUUUAGAUUGCAUUUGAUCCUUCCACUGUCGACCAGAAUCUGUACAAAGGGAGCUAGGGUGACUGGCAUCUCACCCCACCCUCUUGUGACCCCUUCUUCUGAGAGUUGGGUGGGCUGUUGAGGACACCCUACUGCAGAGGGUAGAAGAAAGUAGGGUGCUGCACUCAAUGUCCUGCCCUGAUUCAGUGCCACCCAGUGCUGCUGUGAGGUGGUGACUUGCACAGCUUGUAUAAAUGCUGAAACUGACCAGACAGCUGUAGCAGAGAGAGUGGAGUAGCCUGCAGGGAUCUCAGCUCUCACUCAGCUCCUCUCUUCUCUUCCCUGGAAUCUAAUCCUGCCCCUGCCACACUCCAGGCCCCUUGCUCCGAACCCUAUCCGUUUGGCCUUUCAGCAUUGGGAUUGAAACAAAGUCAUUUCUGGCUCCAGAAGGUCCCUGCUCACUUAAUUCCCAUGUCUCUAAAAAUAUCUGAACCACUUCCUGUCCAGUCUCCUCCCUUAGAAUAUGAUUCUUCCCUACCCCUCAACUUAGGGCAAGAAAUAAGAUCUCCCUCUCAUUGCUCUCUCCAGGCUCAGAAUGGAAUAAAUAAGAAAUGGCUGAGUUUCCACAGUUAAAAGGGGGGAACUGCCUUUGUUCCAUCUAGAGGACUACCAUUGCACCUAGGUCCAGGUCUACACUGGAGGGCCCUGCCUCCUGCUCCAAGAUGGGAUUCAAGGAGGAAGAAAGAGGGGGGCAAGUACGCGGACCCCUUUCGUCCUUCUGUGUGUUGGGUGGCAGGGAGCCUGCUGGUGAGUCUUGGUGUGGGAGUAAGGUUGGGCUCUUGGGCCCCUCGCUGUGAGCCUGCCUGUUCAGCACAGACCAAAAGGGAGACUGUGGGAAGUCUCCAGCCGCCUAGCAGCUUGAGGCUUCCAGAGCUU